rnacentral:rRNA from 1 species
CCUACGGGAGGCAGCAGUGGGGAAUAUUGCACAAUGGGGGAAACCCUGAUGCAGCGACGCCGCGUGAGUGAAGAAGUAUUUCGGUAUGUAAAGCUCUAUCAGCAGGGAAGAAGAAAGACGGUACCUGACUAAGAAGCCCCGGCUAACUACGUGCCAGCAGCCGCGGUAAUACGUAGGGGGCAAGCGUUAUCCGGAUUUACUGGGUGUAAAGGGAGCGUAGACGGCUGUGCAAGUCUGAAGUGAAAGGCCGGGGCUCAACCCUUGGACUGCUUUGGAAACUGUGGGGCUAGAGUGCUGGAGAGGUAAGUGGAAUUCCUAGUGUAGCGGUGAAAUGCGUAGAUAGUAGGAGGAACACCAGUGGCGAAGGCGGCUUACUGGACAGUAACUGACGUUGAGGCUCGAAAGCGUGGGGAGCAAACAGGAUUAGAUACCCUAGUAGUC